UCAACAUACUUGAACUUCCGGAAGUCUAUUCAUAUAGAUUUAUAUAAAUAAACUGCGCACAAUGUGACUGAAAGUAAAAGCGUACUAACCAUCAUAAUCAUACGUACAUGCUCAUAUCGGGUGUAAAAGUUCGGAAGUACAAUUUAAAAAAGGUUAAGCAAAAGAUAAGAGGAUAAUUUGACUUUUUCAUCGUCUGAAAAAUAAGCGUGAGAAGUAACUUCUACAGAUUAUGUCUCCUUCCAUCCCUGUUGCAAUUGUCACAAUUAUAUUAUUGUGUGAGAUGACCCAUAUAGAGUGUCAGUCAUGUCGAUUUAGAGAUGGCGGCUGCAGGGACACCUUAGUGAAUCGUUAUGGCCGAGGUCGCUGUUUUAGACUUGGUAGAAGAAUAGGAAUACGCAAAGCUUGUUCACAGAUCGGUUCAGUAUGCCGAUGUAAAACUGUUGGCAAUACAAUUAGUGCCACGAUUGUAUCAUAUUAUGGAGAAGGCUUAGAAGAGACAUAGACUGAUGACUAGAGUGAACUGAUUCACAUGAUAAGGAUGCUUACAUUGUUUUAAAUCCUUAUAUGGAUGAGCGAUGCUAACAAACAUUGUACUUACAGAAACGAAUAUAGUCAUUUUUAGACUGCCUUAUUAUCUAGUAGUACUUGACGGAUAUAUAUUGUAUUGUUUUGGUUUUGUCAUAAUUGAAAUAUUCUGUGUUUAGUAAAGAUAUAAGAAUAUUCAAUUUAAUAUUGAACAAAAUACCAUUUCUGUGUUUUUGAAGGAUAUUUUAUUUCACUCAAAUAUUUUUUUCUUCUGAUAAAUAGUUUUAACAAUAACACCAAGAUACUGGUUUUAUAACUAUUGACGUUAUUGCGUUAAGUCAUCUAUCCACUGAAUAUUCGAAACUGCAGAACGACCAAGAUUUAUGGAAUGGAUAGUUAUAUGUUCCGAUAGCAAAUAAACGGUAUACUAUAAUAAAAUAUUUGAAAUAUCA
rnacentral:lncRNA from 1 species